rnacentral:miRNA from 1 species
UUAAUCAUCCAUAUACUGUUAGUGUAAAGCUUUUUACACUGACAACUAAUCAUAUCUUUUAAUUUAUUUUAUUUUAUCUUUAUUUAAUUAAAUAAGUAAAUAACAUGACACUAUUAAAAGAUAUGAUUAGUUGUCAGUGUAAAAAACUUUACACUAGUAGUGUAUGGGUGAU